UUCUGUCUUCUCCUGUUGGGUGUGGAGGCGUGUCAGGGCUGGUGUGCUGCACACUUUUUGCCGCUGCCCUAGGUCGUCCGUUUGCUGUGGUGUGAGCCGACCCUGUCUUGGCUGGGGAUGUCCCCGUGUGGGAAGAUGUAUAGCCUACCUGGGCUGCUGGCGUUGGGCGUCUCAUGUGGGCCGCUGUGCACGUGCGCGGAGAGGGUGCCUCCGCCGGGGUCUGAGGGCGGCCUGUCCUGUAAAUCGCUGGACCGGGCUGCAGUCUCAUACAUGCUGCUGUGGGGCUAUCGUGGUGCCACAACUAAUUAAAGGGCCAGUACUCCCCGGCGCGUUCUUCCCCCCACUGAGGCUGUUCCGGUAAAAGUGGUCUGGAUACUAGUACAAAAGUGGUCUCGAUACUAGUACAAAAGUGGUCUGGAUACUAGUACAAAAGUGGAUACUAGUACAAAAGUGGUCUGGAUACUAGUACAAAAGUGGUCUGGAUACUAGUACAAAAGUGGAUACUAGUACAAAAGUGGUCAGGAUACUAGUACAAAAGUGGUCUGGAUACUAGUACAAAAGUGGAUACUAGUACAAAAGUGGUUUGGAUACUAGUACAAAAGUGGAUACUAGUACAAAAGUGAUCUGGAUUCUAGUACAAAAGCAGUCUGGAAACUGGUACAAAACUGGCUCUGUACAUAUUGUAUUAACUGUUGUACAUAUUGCAUGUGGGUUUUUGUUCUUGUUAUUUUGGUUGAUUUUGUUUGAUUUUUCUUUCUUUUUCA